UUGGCCUACGGGACGCAGCAGUAGGGAAUCUUCCACAAUGGGCGAAAGCCUGAUGGAGCAACGCCGCGUGGGUGAAGAAGGUCUUCGGAUCGUAAAACCCUGUUGUUAGAGAAGAAAGUGCGUGAGAGUAACUGUUCACGUUUCGACGGUAUCUAACCAGAAAGCCACGGCUAACUACGUGCCAGCAGCCGCGGUAAUACGUAGGUGGCAAGCGUUGUCCGGAUUUACUGGGUGUAAAGGGCGUGCAGCCGGGCUGACAAGUCAGAUGUGAAAUCC
rnacentral:rRNA from 1 species